rnacentral:rRNA from 1 species
UACAGAGGUCCCAAGCGUUGUUCGGAUUCAUUGGGCGUAAAGGGUGCGUAGGCGGCGCGGUAAGUCGGGUGUGAAAUCUCGGGGCUUAACUCCGAAACUGCAUUCGAUACUGCCGUGCUUGAGGACUGGAGAGGAGACUGGAAUUUACGGUGUAGCGGUGAAAUGCGUAGAUAUCGUAAGGAAGACCAGUGGCGAAGGCGGGUCUCUGGACAGUUCCUGACGCUGAGGCACGAAGGUCAGGGGAGCAAACGGGG